UAUUUCCUGGAAUUCCUUCCUAGCGAGCGGCGGGGACAAAUCCGAGCGCCCCCUGGGCCGUCGCCCGCCCUGAACCUCCGGCCCCGGGACGCAGUGUUGGAGCCACCUGUGGGCUCGGGCUCCAGCCGCCUGGCUGGUUCUGCCUCCCUCCUGGCCCCUCGAGCAGCAUUCAGGCUACCUCCUGGGCGCCUGCAGCGUGCCAGGCCCGACCUGGAAGCUGGGAACGGAAACCAAACACACCAGUGAAGCCGUGUUGGACCCUCCGGACCAGAGCAGCCGCCGACUGAAUUUGUGACUUCGGUCGUGCCAUGUGGAACCGAAGAAUUACCCAGCUGACCCCAACCCAAACUCCUGACCUACAGAGUUGUGGUAUGUAAUAAAAUGGUGGUUAUUUGAAGCCACUAAAUCAUUGGGGAUAGACGGUCCAGCAGAAGGAGAUAGCAGGGAUGCUAGUGCCUGGCCACCCAGCCCCUCCAGUCUCUGCACCUGAGUUUAUGCCAUUCUGACACCCGGAAAAGCCUUUUCGCAGAUCCUGAACUAUCAAAAUUCUGCCUUCUCAAGCAGGUCAAACACAAAGAGAAGCAAUCAGGCUGUGUGCUGCCCGGCUUGUGUUUGCUCUUACGCACUGCUCCGUGCCAGGCAGCCCCCCCCACUACAUCAGCCGCUCUUGCCCUCUGACUUGGGUUUGGCCAACAGGGGGCAGCAGCAGGAGGUCAGAAAGCGGGAGGAGGGAGACGUCAGGAUGUUUAUUCCUUCUCUCCCCCCUUGCACAGUCAGCCACCGGGUCAGCUGUGUCUCUCCACCUAGGCCACAGCUCCUGGCAGGCGGUCCGGUCCAAGCCACACUGCCCGCCUUCAAAGGCGAUGAUUCCUUUAGUUACCAGCCUCAGGCUACUGCUCCACCCCUUCUUGCUUUCCAGAAGCUCUGCUCUGGGUUCGAGUUCCCUGGAAGCAGAGCCUGAGGUGAAGAUUUGAGUGCCAGGCAGUGUAUUUGGGAAGAGGCCCAGGAAACGCAGGAAGACAGGAAGGGAGCCAAUGCAGACGGGCUACAGGACCAGGCGCCUAGCGCUCAGUUGUGCAGCGAACUCUGGGAGACCAUGUAGAGAAUGUGUCAGAGUUAACCCUGCAGGAGUGAGGAGGCUGGGAGGUUUAUCUAUCAACCGCCCUUUGACUUGAGGACAUUCACUUCUGGGCACUCUGGGCUUGCCCAACCCGCUGGCUCAGCUUGUUCCCAUGGCUAGAAAACACCAGGAGAAAGAGAACGAGCAGGAGACUGACCCUGCUGCUACAUGGCAUGAGUGCCAUGCAGAGGCGAUGCUGAGGGCUCUCCGGCUGGGCCCUGACAGCCACGCCUAGCCACAGCUUUGGGAAUCCCUUGUUUUUUCCCAGCUUUACUGCGGUAUGAUUGACAAAUGAAGUUGUAAGAUAUUCAAAGUGUACAAUAUGGGCCGCCUGGGUGGCUCAGUCGGUUAAGCGUCCAACUUUGGCUCAUGUCAGGAUCUCACGGUUUGUAGGUUCGAGCCUCGCGUUGGGCUCCGAGCCCGCUUGGGAUCCUCUGUCCCCCUCUCUGUGCCCCUCCCCCGCUUGCAUGCUCUUUCUCAAAAUAAACUUUAAAAAUUAAAAAAAAAAAAAAAAACCAAAGUGUAUAAUGUGAUGAUCUGAUACAAGCAUACAUGUGAAAAGAUUCUCCCCCCACCAAGUUAAUUAGCACACUCAUCAUCAUAUAUUUACCUCUUUGUCUGUUUUGGUGAGGACACUUAUGUUUUACUCUUAGCACAUUUCAACAUUUCAGUUAUGCAAAAGUGUUAUCCACGCUAGCCAUCCUGUUAUGCAUUAUAUCCUCAGAAUGUAUUCAUCUUCUUAAUGAAUAUAAUUCCUUUAUUAAACUCCCCUCAAUUAUUCA